AGGAGCAAAAAGAGCUUUCUCAUUUUCACCUUUUUCAUUUCAGGGGGUAAAAUCAUCUCCAGAAUCCUCCAGCAGACUUCCCUCUUCAUCUCACUGGCCAAAAUCAAGUCACAUGACCAUCCCUGAUCCAUCUCUUGCACAGGGGAACAGGAUCGCUAUGAUUGGCUGUGACCAGUCAUGAGUCAUCUCUUUGCUCAGAGAGCAGCACAAUUGACCGGAUACUCACCCUCUUUGAGUUUCUGGGGGUGGUGAGGCCCAUCUCCAGUCUUGGGAGCAGUCUGUGUGGAGGGCCUUCUCUGGGCCAGGCCUUGUGCAGAUGAAGGAAAACAGUCCCCACCUUCAAAUGCACGCAGGAGGCAGGAAGGAGCCACUACACGGUCUGCAGGUCUUUCUCUGUGAUCUGUUCUUCUGCCCAGAAAUUAGCUCGUGUUCCUUCUUUUCAGCUGGCACUGAAGUCGUUUGCUGCUAAGCAUGACGUUAACGAUGUAAAGUGACACAGGCAAGUUUCUCAAGUGGUGGAAACACCUCGUUCUUUUAAUGGCCCUCGACUUCUCCCCACCCUCUAGGGAAAGUCUGAACUUCCGGCCUAUUGGGUCAUAACCAAGGGACUGAGAAUUUAGAAUCAGGAAUGGAUACAGCUGGAGGGGUCUCAGUGAGCUCUUCCUUUUUAAAUGGGGAAACAAAUGUCUAAGAUUUGGUCUGGGAACUGCUGCUGCUUCUGGGCAAAAGAUGGCAAAGACGUCUACUUGAGGGCUGGGUCAGAACCGUUUCUCCGAUUCAUUUUGCUCAGUGCUAUAGGCUCACUUUUGUCUGUUGAAAAGGAUUGCGCUAUCAUCGUGGUGUACUAGGGUAGAUUCAUCCGGGGUGUGGUACGCCCUCGCGUGCCAAGACCUCGCAGCCAGGUGAUUUGAUUGACCUCCCUCCCUGGACAGACUUCUGUGCGUUUAUUUCGAGAGGCUGGAUCUGAAAGGAGUUCGGGGUCAGGGGAUUUGGAACUCGGUCUGGAGGAAGCAAAGCUGCUUUCGUUCACUUAGUGUACUGGGCAAUUAGCCUUGGAGUAACAAAUGUUAUCUGCACCAGCGCAGCCCCGUGCCAAGUACCAAAACCACAUUUUCCAGAUGAUUCCAGUGAGAAGUUUCUGACCCAAAGCAAUUCAAAUUAGGCCCCAAAGACCACAAUCAUCUUGUAUAAAACGACACUGUUCCUCUCCUCCUGGCCUUCUUUGAUGAAAGAAUGCAAAAUCCAGGCUAAGCACCAACUGCAGAGCCCCUGUCAUGCUCUCCUAAGCUUCCAGAGUUACCGUAAGAGACGCUCGUGGUUCAUGGAAAGUAUACUAGCUAAAAUGACUCUGAAAUACUUCUGGCUUCUGGAAGUACAAUUUUCGAAAUUAAUGCCUGAUAGAACCUACUGUGGAAAGUGUCUGAGCAUUCCAGGCCAGCCACGUGAGUUUCAUGGAUGCAAGGUAAGAAGGGUCACCAUCAAGUGAUAAAUGGUUACUGUGUUAAAACUGAAGACGUGUAAAGGAGUCGAUUAUGACAUUAAUCAGGAUAAAGAGGCCACAACCCAUCCCCACCCCUCAACUCCCAAAAAAAGGUAAAAAAUAGAAGCCUUAUGUAACUUUCCUAAUGCACCAAUGCAAAGAAUGUUUUUCGUUUGCUCCAGGCUGACCGCAGGACAGUGUUUCGGGGAGAAAUCAACUUCACAGCACAGAGGAGGAGGCACUUGGCUUUGGCUCUGGGGUAAAACUCAGAGUUCCUGGAGGAAAAGGCCUUUCUCCCUAUUACUGCUUCACUCUUUCCUGUUACUGAAAAUUUUUCACUUUAAAGGCCCCAUCUGCUGGUAUAGCCACUACGCAGAUAUUCCAGGACUCCUAUUUCAAGAAUUUUCCCAGGCAAGAAGACUGGCCAGCAGCAGGGGCCUGCCAGAGAACACUUGGUGGCUUCCUAAACUCGCUUAAGGUGAUGACCAGGUCUUUGAGCGGUUCAGACGUCCCCCAGCACCAUUCAGGAGCAGGAGCUGAGUCUUAACGGACUCCUGAAAAAUUUGCCUUCUGCUGCCAGGAAAGACGUAACGCGGCAGAAUCACCGAGACAGAGUGGAUUCAGCUUUAUCCUGGAGAGAACGAAAUAGCUUUCCUCAAAUGUUGUGAGAGUGACUUUCCUUUUUUAGAUAAGCCCAUGGACUUCGUCACACUAGCCCAAAUUUGCCACCAGCUCAGGCAAUGUGGCACCGUGCACAGCAGCCAAAUCUGAAGGAUAGUGUUCGCGGCUUGUGGGUCCUGCCUGCACAAGGAGAGGGGGUUCCAAGUGACGACAGAAGGCUGUUCAUUCGUGAACUGCCAAGUUCUCCACAUCCUCCUGGCUGGCUCUUUACAUCCGCUUCUCAGCCCUUUUGUUGGGGAUGACUUUGCUGUGCCAGCAGGGAGGGUAAUGCUUUACCUUACCCAGCGUAUCCUAACAAGGCCCAUGGGUGACCAUUUCCCAAAAUAAAACAAUCUCAGUGUGGUGUAGGGCCUGGGAAAAAGUCUCACGUGUAGAAACAGAUUGUUUUCAGUUUGAAAAGGGUUGUGUGCCUGGGUCUUCUCCUACCCCGAGCCUCCAAAUCCAGGUAAUUUUCCCUAUUCUGCAUCUGGUUCAGCUACUUUUUAUUAGUUUGUGAAGGUGGAGCAAAGGGGCGGAAAGAUGAAGAAU